AACCAACUUUACCACUUUAUAUACGUGGAAAUAAAAUUCUCUCUCAUAUAAAAAAUUACUUUCUAUCUAAAAAUAAUUAGACAAAUAAGCUUAUCUUUUAUUUAAAAUUAUUUUUUUCAACUACAACAAUUGGACCUUCUUAUACAGUUCCAAUCAUUAUAGUUGAAUUCAAAUAUAUUAUAUUGAAUACCGAAUUUGAAUAUACAUGUAAUUACAACUGUAAUAAGAUUGGAACUAUAUGCAACUAAAUACUGAAGUUGAAUUCAAAUAUAUUAUAUUAAAUACUGAAUUUGAAUAUGCAUGUAAUCACAACUAUAAUAAGAUUGGAACUAUAUGCAAC
rnacentral:lncRNA from 1 species